rnacentral:lncRNA from 1 species
GAAUUGGGUGCGGACACGCCCCGCCAGCCCAACGGCCCCUCCGCUCGCGAGAACCGCCGCCGCCGCCAGUGCGCCUGCGCGCCCCCUCACACACACGCGCCCCCUCCCCUCCCCCCCCCCCCCCCCCCCCCCCCCCCGCGGCCAGGUGGCGUUGGCGGGAACGUGAGGGGGAGAAGGCGGCGGGGUGAGGGGGCGUGGCUUCACCUCAGGGGAGCGGGCGGGCGCCGCCGCCUGCUAUAGCAGCAGCAGCAGGGCGUGGCGGGGGGUUGUGCGCCGGGGGCGGCGGGCUGGCGCGUUAGAGCCGCGGGGCGGGCCGGGCCGGGCCGCGCCGCGUCGGGCCGGGCCGGGCCGGGCCGGGCCGCGCCGCGGAGGGGAAGAGGUCGAAGGCUGGCGGUGCUGGCCGCCGGGGUGCAGCCACGUCGUGCGGCGCCCUUUCGGCGGGUGCCGAGAUAAGCGACGCGUCUGCUCCGAGGUGGUUUUGCUGCCCGCCUGAGUGAACGCAGGCGUGCCACUGAGGUGACACUGCAGCCCGGCUUGAAGAAUGCUUUCAGGAAUCAGUAUGGCUACCACAAGCGUUUCUAGCCUUCUGUCCUGCUCUGGAUGCCACCUUAAGAGAUUGUAUUGCCACCUGGGCUUGGCUGGGAUACCUCUAUUUACUUCUGUGAACCUUGGCUUGGAUCUAGUGCAGCAAAACGGUGGCAAUUUUGGAUCCCCAGGUACUCUUGAGUACAGAAGGGCCAUUUAG